rnacentral:rRNA from 1 species
UGUAGUCAUAUGCUUGUCUCAAAGACUAAGCCAUGCAUGUCUAAGUAUAAGCAAUUAUACCGCGAAACUGCGAAUGGCUCAUUAUAUAAGUUAUCGUUUAUUUGAUAGCACAUUACUACUUGGAUAACCGUGGUAAUUCUAGAGCUAAUACAUGCUAAAAAUCCCGACUUCGGAAGGGAUGUAUUUAUUAGAUUAAAAGCCAACGCCCUUCGGGGCUCUCUGGUGAUUCAUAAUAACUGGUCGAAUCGCAUGGCCUUGCGCCGGCGAUGGUUCAUUCAAAUUUCUUCCCUAUCAACUUUCGAUGCGAGGGUCUUGUCCUCGCAUGGUUGCAACGGGUAACGGAGGGUUAGGGCUCGACCCCGGAGAAGGAGCCUGAGAAACGGCUACUACAUCCAAGGAAGGCAGCAGGCGCGCAAAUUACCCAAUCCCGACACGGGGAGGUAGUGACAAUAAAUACUGAUACAAGGCUCUUUUGGGUCUUGUAAUCGGAAUGAGUACAAUUUAAAUCCCUUAACGAGGAACAAUUGGAGGGCAAGUCUGGUAAUCG